CAGUCGCCGCGGGAACACAGAGGGUGCGAGCGUUAAUCGGAUUUACUGGGCGUAAAGCGUGCGUAGGCGGCUUCUUAAGUCGGAUGUGAAAUCCCUGAGCUUAACUUAGGAAUUGCAUUCGAUACUGGGAAGCUAGAGUAUGGGAGAGGAUGGUAGAAUUCCAGGUGUAGCGGUGAAAUGCGUAGAGAUCUGGAGGAAUACCGAUGGCGAAGGCAGCCAUCUGGCCUAAUACUGACGCUGAGGUACGAAAGCAUGGGGAGCAAACAGGAUUAGAUACCCGUGUAGUCCCUGUCUCUUAUAC
rnacentral:rRNA from 1 species